GCUGGAAUGGCCGAGUCGUUAAGGCGAUAGAUUUGAAUGCGUUAAAAUUUUCAAUGUUCAUCAUCUAUUACUCUCUGAGUGCGUAGGUUCAAAUCCUGCUUCCAGCG